rnacentral:lncRNA from 1 species
GACCGUUGUCUGCCACAGGAAUCAGGUGCCACCCUCCCCAGUGUGUUCACCCGUAAGAAAUGUCAGGAGCUGCAUAGCGAUGCAUCAGGGACCUUCCAGAAUAAAUGGAAAUCAGUCGCCCCCUUGUGGUCCCUGGCACACGGCUCUGAGAUGGUGAAGAAUUGAAAUGCUACUAAAGCCCCUCCCUGAGCAAGAAAAUCUUGGCAGGAUGACGCCAGAAGCAUGGGGAGGGGAAGGCUCUGCUCCUGAUGGACCACGGUGAGCCUUGAUGCUGUCCAAACAGGUUCUGCCAAACCCCAGGAGCGGCUUCUGGGCAAACAUGGGACUAGCACCGGGACUGGCACGUGAAGGCGAAUGCAAAGGGUUUGGGAGAUAUUUUUUUCUCCCAACAAGGAAGCAGGCCGCU